UCUAUUUUGGCCAUGUUAAAUUUGAGAUGCUAUGAGACAUUCAAGUAGAGCUGCCAUAAAAGCAUUAUCCUUAGAUCCUCAGAAGGUAGCUUUAGGCUCUAUGAAUGAAUGGUUCUCAAUGGGGGACAACUGUGCCCCCCCAGGAGACACUCAACCAUUUGUGGAGGCAUUUUUGUCACACCUGGGAGAGAGGUAUUCUACUGGCAUCUAGUGGGUAGAGGCCAGAGAUGCUGCCGGACAUCCUACAACACACAAGACGGCAACCCCACAACAACAGCAACAAAAGUAACAAAAUCAGCUGGUCGAAAAUGUCACAAGCACUGAAGGUGAGAAACCCCGGGCCUGAGACAUAAACAUGGAAGUCUUAUCAAACAGACCAUAUUUAAAACCCCAAAAACAGAGCGAGGGGAGAAAAAGAGGACUAAACCUUGAGAAACUCCUCUUUCACAAGUCAGACAAAAGUGGAAGAACCAACACAGAAGACUGAAAAGGGGAGAAGAAGGAUGCAGAAGAGUGGGAACCAGAGAAAUGGCAUGUGAGGAGGACUCAGCCUGCCGGUGCUGGCGUGGAGAUGGAAGGUGGCCAGGAGUCAAGGAAAUGUCAGCAGCCUACAGAAGCUGGGAAAGGCAAGAAAACUGAUCCCCAAAAACCCCCAGAAAGGAAUGCAGCCCUGCCAUCACUCAGUAAGACCCAUUUUGCGCUUCUGACCUCCAGACAAGUAAGAUAAUAAAUCUGUUG